rnacentral:tRNA from 1 species
CAGGACAUAGUUUAAGUAGAAUGCCGGCUUUGGGGGUCGGAGGUAGAGGUUAGAGUCUUUUUGUUCUGA